CAGGCGCGAAAACUUUACAAUGCGGGAAACCGUGAUAAGGGAACUCCGAGUGCCCGUAAAAUCGGGCUGUCCAUCAGUUUAAAUAACUGGUGAAGAAAGGGCCGGGCAAGACCGGUGCCAGCCGCCGCGGUAA
rnacentral:rRNA from 1 species